AGUGAACGCUGGCGGUAGGCCUAACACAUGCAAGUCGAACGGCAGCACAGUAAGAGCUUGCUCUUACGGGUGGCGAGUGGCGGACGGGUGAGGAAUAUAUCGUAAUCUACUUUUUCGGGGGGGAUAACGUAGGGAAACUUACGCUAAUAUCGCAUACGACCUACGGGUGAAAGCAGGGGAUCUUUAGACCUUGCGCGAUUGAAUGAGCCGAUGUCGGAUUAGUUAGUUGGCGGGGUAAAGGCCCACCAAGUCGACGAUCCGUAGCUGGUCUGAGAGGAUGAUCAGCCGCACUGGAGCUGAGACACGGUCCAGACGACUACGGGAGGCAGCAGUGGGGAAUAUUGGACAGUGGGCGCAAGCCUGGUCCAGCGAUACCGCGUGGGUGAAGAAGGCCUUCGGGUUGUAAAGCCCUUUUGUUGGGAAAGAAAAGCAGCAGGUUAAUACCCCGCUGUUCUGACGGUACCCAAAGAAUAAGCACCGGCUAACUACGUG
rnacentral:rRNA from 1 species